AGCAGCCGCGGUAAUUCCAGCUCCAAUAGCGUAUAUUAAAGUUGUUGCAGUUAAAAAGCUCGUAGUUGAAUUUCGGGGUUCUACCGUCGGUCGGGCUACCAAGUCUGUACUGGUGUGUAGAAUUCCUACCUUCUGGGGAACUAUCAUGUUAUUAAUUUAGCGUGGUGGGAAACCAGGACCUUUACCUUGAAAAAAUUAGAGUGUUCAAAGCAGGCUUAUGUCUGAAUACAUUAGCAUGGAAUAAUAGAAUAGGACGGUGGUCCUGUUUUGUUGGUUUCUGAAUCACCGUAAUGAUUAAUAGGGAUAGUUGGGGGCAUUAGUAUUCAAUUGUCAGAGGUGAAAUUCUUGGAUUUAUUGAAGACUAACUUCU
rnacentral:rRNA from 1 species